UACAGAGGUGGCAAGCGUUGUUCGGAUUUACUGGGCGUAAAGGGCGCGUAGGCGGCGUGACAAGUCACUUGUGAAAUCUCCGGGCUUAACUCGGAGCGGCCAAGUGAUACUGUCGUGCUAGAGUGCGGAAGGGGCUACUGGAAUUCUCGGUGUAGCGGUGAAAUGCGUAGAUAUCGAGAGGAACACCUGCGGCGAAGGCGGGUAGCUGGGCCGACACUGACGCUGAGGCGCGAAAGCUAGGGGAGCGAACGGG
rnacentral:rRNA from 1 species